rnacentral:rRNA from 1 species
GUGAACGCUGGCGGUAGGCCUAACACAUGCAAGUCGAACGGCAGCACAGUAAGAGCUUGCUCUUACGGGUGGCGAGUGGCGGACGGGUGAGGAAUACAUCGGAAUCUACUUUUUCGUGGGGGAUAACGGAGGGAAACUUACGCUAAUACCGCAUACGACCUACGGGUGAAAGCAGGGGAUCUUCGGACCUUGCGCGAUUGAAUGAGCCGAUGUCGGAUUAGCUAGUUGGCGGGGUAAAGGCCCACCAAGGCGACGAUCCGUAGCUGGUCUGAGAGGAUGAUCAGCCACACUGGAACUGAGACACGGUCCAGACUCCUACGGGAGGCAGCAGUGGGGAAUCUUGGACAAUGGGCGCAAGCCUGAUCCAGCCAUACCGCGUGGGUGAAGAAGGCCUUCGGGUUGUAAAGCCCUUUUGUUGGGAAAGAAAAGCAGCAGGUUAAUACCCCGCUGUUCUGACGGUACCCAAAGAAUAAGCACCGGCUAACUUCGUG